rnacentral:rRNA from 1 species
AUUGAACGCUGGCGGCAGGCCUAACACAUGCAAGUCGAACGAGUGGCGGACGGGUGAGUAAUGUCUGGGAAACUGCCUGAUGGAGGGGGAUAACUACUGGAAACGGUAGCUAAUACCGCAUACCAUCAGAUGUGCCCCGAUGGGCUUAGCUGGUUGGUGGGGUAACGGCUCACCAAGGCGACGAGCCCUAGCUGGUCUGAGAGGAUGAACAGCCAGACGGGAACGUAGACACGGGCCAGACUCCUACGGUAUGCAGCAGUGGGGAAUAGGGGACAAUGGGCGCAAGCCUGAUGCAGCCAUGCCGCGUGUAUGAAGAAGGCCUGCGGGUUGUAAAGUACUUUCAGCGGGGAGGCGUUACCCGCAGAAGAAGCACCGGCUAACUCCGUGCCAGCAGCCGCGGUAAUUC